CAGUCGCCACGGUAAUACGGAGGGUGCAAGCGUUAAUCGGAAUUACUGGGCGUAAAGCGCACGCAGGCGGUUUGUUAAGUCAGAUGUGAAAUCCCCGAGCUUAACUUGGGAACUGCAUUUGAAACUGGCAAGCUAGAGUCUUGUAGAGGGGGGUAGAAUUCCAGGUGUAGCGGUGAAAUGCGUAGAGAUCUGGAGGAAUACCGGUGGCGAAGGCGGCCCCCUGGACAAAGACUGACGCUCAGGUGCGAAAGCGUGGGGAGCAAACAGGAUUAGAUACCCCUGUAGUCCCUGUCUCUUAUAC
rnacentral:rRNA from 1 species